rnacentral:rRNA from 1 species
CAGCAGCCGCGGUAAUACGGAGGGUGCAAGCGUUAUCCGGAUUUAUUGGGUUUAAAGGGUCCGUAGGCGGACUUAUAAGUCAGUGGUGAAAGCCUGUCGCUUAACGAUAGAACUGCCAUUGAUACUGUAAGUCUUGAGUAUAUUUGAGGUAGCUGGAAUAAGUAGUGUAGCGGUGAAAUGCAUAGAUAUUACUUAGAACACCAAUUGCGAAGGCAGGUUACCAAGAUAUAACUGACGCUGAGGGACGAAAGCGUGGGUAGCGAACAGGAUUAGAGACCCCAGUAGUCCCUGUCUCUUAUAC